rnacentral:rRNA from 1 species
AUGGCGAGGGGUGGCAGCGCCGUGGCUGUCCUCUCCUUCCUCCUCGGCCUCCCGCUCCUCUCCGUCCUCGUCGCCGGCGAGGACCCGUACCGGUUCUUCACGUGGAACGUCAGCUACGGCGACAUCUACCCGCUCGGCGUCAAGCAGCAGGGAAUACUGAUCAAUGGGCAGUUCCCGGGGCCGCAGAUAGAGGCCGUCACCAACGACAACCUCGUCGUCAAUGUCUUCAACAAGCUCAACGAGCCAUUCCUCCUCUCCUGGAGCGGGUUACAGCAGCGGCGGAACUCGUUCGAGGACGGCGUGGCCGGGACGACGUGCCCGAUCCCGCCGGGCGCCAACUUCACAUACAUCCUGCAGGCCAAGGACCAGAUCGGCACCUACUUCUACUUCCCCUCCCUCGCCUUCCACAAGGCCGCCGGCGGCUUCGGCGGCAUCCGCGUCCUCAGCCGCCCCAGGAUCCCAGUCCCCUUCCCUCCCCCGGCCGCCGACUACACCGUCCUCAUCGGCGACUGGUACAAGACCAACCAUACCGAUUUGAGGUACAUGCUUGACAGUGGCAAGGCUCUUGGCUUCCCCGAUGGCCUGCUCAUCAACGGGCGCGGCUGGAACGGCUACACCUUCACCGUCCAGCCCGGCAUGACGUACCGCUUCCGGAUCACCAACGUCGGGCUGGCCACGUCCCUCAACAUCAGGUUCCAGGGGCACACCAUGAAGCUGGUGGAGGUGGAGGGCUCGCACACCAUGCAGACCGCCUACUCCUCCCUGGACGUGCACCUUGGCCAGUCCUACUCGGUGCUCCUCACGGCCGACCAGCCUGGCUUCGACUACUCCAUCGUCGUCUCCACGCGCUUCACCACCAAGAUCAUAUCCACCACCGCCGUCCUGCACUACGCCAACUCCGCCGGCAAGGCUCCCGGCCCGCUGCCGGGAGGCCCCACCACCCAGAUCGACUGGUCGCUCAACCAGGCCCGCUCUAUCAGAUGGAACCUGACGGCGAGCGGGCCGAGGCCCAACCCGCAGGGCUCGUACCACUACGGCCAGGUGCCCACCACCAAGACCAUCAGGCUGGCCAACUCGGCGGCCACCAUCAACGGCAAGCAGAGGUACGCGGUGAACAGCGUGUCGCACGUCAACGCAGACACACCCCUCAAGAUCGCCGACUACUACAAGAUCCCCGGCGUGUUCUCGGUGGGCACCAUCUCUGACAGCCCGACAUACGGCGGUGCCUACCUUCGGACGUCGGUCAUGGGGGCCGACUACAGAGGUUACGUCGAGAUUGUGUUUGAGAACUCUGAGAACGAGGUGCAGUCGUGGCACAUCGACGGCUACGCCUUCUGGGUUGUCGGAAUGAAUGGAGGAAAAUGGUCGCCGGCAAGCAGGCAGAUCUACAACUUGAGGGAUGGCGUUUCACGGUACACUGUUCAGGUUUACCCCAAUGCAUGGACUGCAAUCUACAUGCCCCUUGACAACGUGGGCAUGUGGAACGUUCGAUCGGAGACCUGGGCCAGGCAGUACCUGGGGCAGCAGUUCUACCUCCGCGUCUGGACGCCGUCGACGUCGUGGCGCGACGAGUUCCCGAUCCCCAAGAACGCCCUCCUGUGCGGCCGAGCUGCCGGCCGCAGAACAAGGCCUUUCUGA